CGCUGGCGGCGGCCUAACACAUGCAAGUCGAGCGCCCGUAGCAAUACGGGAGCGGCAGACGGGAGAGUAACACGUGGGAACGUACCUUUCGGUUCGGAAUAACCCAGGGAAACUUGGGCUAAUACCGGAUACGUCCGCAAGGAGAAAGAUUUAUCGCCGAAAGAUCGGCCCGCGUCCGAUUAGCUUGUUGGUGAGGUAACGGCUCACCAAGGCGACGAUCGGUAGCUGGUCUGAGAGGAUGAUCAGCCUCACUGGGACUGAGACACGGCCCAGACUCCUACGGGAGGCAGCAGUGGGGAAUAUUGGACAAUGGGCGCAAGCCUGAUCCAGCCAUGCCGCGUGGGUGAUGACGGCCUUAGGGUUGUAAAGCCCUUUCGGCGGGGAAGAUAAUGACGGUACCCGCAGAAGAAGCCCCGGCAAACUUCGUGCCAGCAGCCGCGGUAAUACGAAGGGGGCUAGCGUUGCUCGGAAUCACUGGGCGUAAAGCGCACGUAGGCGGGUCUUUAAGUCAGGGGUGAAAUCCUGGAGCUCAACUCCAGAACUGCCUUUGAUACUGGAGACCUGGAGUUCGGGAGAGGUGAGUGGAACUGCGAGUGUAAAGGUGAAAUUCG
rnacentral:rRNA from 1 species